GUGUGGUCAGAAAAGAGCCAUUACUGACUCCUGUUCUUGCUUCCUCUUCCCUCUUCCUGUCUGGAGAACUUCAAGAAACAAGGAGAAGGACACAAAAAGGAAUGACUAAGAAGAAAAAGGACGUGGGAUGACUAUUAAGGAGAGUUCUGGGCCACAGAACAUUGGGAGUGGGCUGGAUGGUUUCCAGAGAAGAGAAGCGCACCGAAGGCGGGAAACAUUCGUCAGCCCGGGGCUCGGCACAACGAAGGACCAAGAAUUAGAAAGUUCCCUGCAAGUGUCCGAUGCCGGUCAGCCCACCGCAGGGGAGCCUGCUCUAGACUUGACUGGGCCCUUGGAGGAUGAGGCUUCUGGCUGCCCGACAACUGUAAUCAGCUACAGACACAACAGAUCUGAGGCAACAGCAAACCGAGGUCAGGCCUGGGCGACAGGGCACGCGGCUGAAGGAGCCAGGGCAGGUUGAGAGCCCAGGAAAGGCUGCGCCAGGGCGGGCUGGGUCUGCGAUGCUGGGCGCUAUCCCACGGCAGCCUCGGCCUCAGCCGCCGCUGCUGGAGACAGCUCAUCACGAGCUUUCCAGGAAGGCCAGGGGUCUCAAGUGGAACCUCUGAGAAUGGUCCACCUGGAGCUGUCGGAGGGCGACACUGAGGUGUGAGGAGAAACGAGGAGGCAGCUCCACCUCAGGUUGGCCUGGGCCAGCUUCUAGGUCAUGUGAAAAUUCAUUACAACUCAAUUAGGAAUUUGGAGAAGAUCAUCUGGAAGUAAAGAAUUAAUAUUCAGCCCUAGUUGGUUUGGCUCAAUGGAUAGAGCAUCAGCUUGCAGAUUGAAGGUUCCCAGGUUCGAUUCCGGUCAAGGGCACAUGACCCGGUUGCAGGCUCAAUCCCCAAUAGGGGGCAUGCAGGAGGCAGCCGAUCAAUGAUUCUUUCUCAUCAUUGAUGUUUCUAUCUCUCUCUCUCUCCCCCUUCCUCUCUGAAAUUAAUAAAAAUGUUUUUUUAAAAAAGAAUUAAUAUACAUGUAUUUAGAGCAAUGGUUCUCAACCUUCCUAAUGCCACGACCCUUUAAUACAGUUCCUCAUGUUGUGGUGACCCCUAAUAUCAUUGUUACAAAUUGAACAUAAUUAAAGCAUAGUGAUUAAUCACAAAAACAAUAUGUAAUUAUAUAUGUGUUUUCCGAUGGACUUAGGCGACCCCUGUGAAAGGGUCGUUCGACCCCCAAAGGGGUCGCAACCCACAAGUUGAGAACCGCUGAUUUAGAGGUAUGCACAACCCAAAAGCCCUGGAGAUUGACAGUACCUAAACAAUUACCAUUGAUUUUAAUAACUUUAGCAGAAGUAGCAAUGUGAGGAACUAUAAGAAACUGGUGAAAAUAAUUCUCAAAAUCAUCACAAAGAAAAACACCUAAUCCUAGUAAUUAUGGACCCCUCACUACUCAACCCUCCCCAGGAAUAAAUACAAAAU